rnacentral:rRNA from 1 species
AAGCCUGGGAAACUGGGUCUAAUACCGGAUAGGAGCGUCCACCGCAUGGUGGGUGUUGGAAAGAUUUAUCGGUUUUGGAUGGACUCGCGGCCUAUCAGCUUGUUGGUGAGGUAAUGGCUCACCAAGGCGACGACGGGUAGCCGGCCUGAGAGGGUGACCGGCCACACUGGGACUGAGACACGGCCCAGACUCCUACGGGAGGCAGCAGUGGGGAAUAUUGCACAAUGGGCGCAAGCCUGAUGCAGCGACGCCGCGUGAGGGAUGACGGCCUUCGGGUUGUAAACCUCUUUCAGUAGGGAAGAAGCGAAAGUGACGGUACCUGCAGAAGAAGCACCGGCUAACUACGUGCCAGCAGCCGCGGUAAUACGUAGGGUGCGAGCGUUAUCCGGAAUUAUUGGGCGUAAAGAGCUCGUAGGCGGUUUGUCGCGUCUGUCGUGAAAGUCCGGGGCUUAACCCCGGAUCUGCGGUGGGUACGGGCAGACUAGAGUGCAGUAGGGGAGACUGGAAUUCCUGGUGUAGCGGUGGAAUGCGCAGAUAUCAGGAGGAACACCGAUGGCGAAGGCAGGUCUCUGGGCUGUAACUGACGCUGAGGAGCGAAAGCAUGGGGAGCGAACAGGAUUAGAUACCCUGGUAGUCCAUGCCGUAAACGUUGGGCACUAGGUGUGGGGACCAUUCCACGGUUUCCGCGCCGCAGCUAACGCAUUAAGUGCCCCGCCUGGGGAGUACGGCCGCAAGGCUAAAACUCAAAGGAAUUGACGGGGGCCCGCACAAGCGGCGGAGCAUGCGGAUUAAUUCGAUGCAACGCGAAGAACCUUACCAAGGCUUGACAUGUUCUCGAUCGCCGUAGAGAUACGGUUUCCCCUUUGGGGCGGGUUCACAGGUGGUGCAUGGUUGUCGUCAGCUCGUGUCGUGAGAUGUUGGGUUAAGUCCCGCAACGAGCGCAACCCUCGUUCCAUGUUGCCAGCACGUCGUGGUGGGGACUCAUGGGAGACUGCCGGGGUCAACUCGGAGGAAGGUGAGGACGACGUCAAAUCAUCAUGCCCCUUAUGUCUUGGGCUUCACGCAUGCUACAAUGGCCGGUACAAUGGGUUGCGAUACUGUGAGGUGGAGCUAAUCCCAAAAAGCCGGUCUCAGUUCGGAUUGGGG